rnacentral:rRNA from 1 species
CCUACGGGAGGCAGCAGUGAGGAAUAUUGGUCAAUGGACGCAAGUCUGAACCAGCCAUGCCGCGUGAAGGAUGAAGGCCUUCUGGGUUGUAAACUUCUUUUAUCUGGGAAGAAACCCCCGAUUUCUAUUGGAGUUGACGGUACCAGAGGAAUAAGCACCGGCUAACUCCGUGCCAGCAGCCGCGGUAAUACGGAGGGUGCAAGCGUUAUCCGGAUUUACUGGGUUUAAAGGGUGUGUAGGCGGGCUAUUAAGUCAGUGGUGAAAUCUCCGAGCUUAACUUGGAAACUGCCAAUGAUACUAUUAGUCUUGAAUUUUGUUGAGGUAGGCGGAAUAAGUCAUGUAGCGGUGAAAUGCAUAGAUAUGACUUAGAACACCAAUUGCGAAGGCAGCUUGCUAAACAAAUAUUGACGCUGAGGCACAAAAGCGUGGGGAUCAAACAGGAUUAGAUACCCUGGUAGUCCACGCCCUAAACGAUGAUUACUCGACAUACGCGAUACACAGUGCGUGUCUGAGCGAAAGCAUUAAGUAAUCCACCUGGGAAGUACGACCGCAAGGUUGAAACUCAAAGGAAUUGACGG